AUGAGGAAGGAUGUAGUAAUCGACGAAAUGCUUCGGGGAGUUGAAAAUAAGCAUAGAUGCGGAGAUUCCCGAAUAGGGCAACCUUUUGAACUGCUGCUGAAUCCAUGGGCAGGCAAGAGACAACCUGGCGAACUAAAACAUCUUAGUAGCCAGAGGAAAAGAAAGCAAAAGC
rfam:Capsicum annuum cultivar Zunla-1 chromosome 10, whole genome shotgun sequence